rnacentral:rRNA from 1 species
UACGGGGGGGGGCAAGCGUUGUUCGGAAUUACUGGGCGUAAAGGGCGCGUAGGCGGCCUGCUAAGUCGAACGUGAAAUCCCUGGGCUCAACCCAGGAACUGCGUCCGAUACUGGUUGGCUUGAAUCCGGGAGAGGGAUGUGGAAUUCCAGGUGUAGCGGUGAAAUGCGCAGAUAUCGGGAGGAACACCUAUGGCGAAGGCAGCUCGCUGGGACGUUACUGACGCUGAGACGCGAAAGCGUGGGGAGCAAACAGG